rnacentral:rRNA from 1 species
GGAUGCGAUCAUACCAGCACUAAAGCACCGGAUACCAUCAGAACUCCGAAGUUAAGCGUGCUUGGGCGAGAGUAGUACUAGGAUGGGUGACCUCCUGGGUAGUCCUCGUGUUGCAUUCC